UUUCGUAGGGUGACCUGCGGAAGGAUCAUUAUUG
rnacentral:rRNA from 1 species